CCUACGGGUGGCAGCAGUGAGGAAUAUUGGUCAAUGGGCGCGAGUCUGAACCAGCCAAGUAGCGUGAAGGAUGACUGCCCUACGGGUUGUAAACUUCUUUUAUAAAGGAAUAAAGUGAGGCACGUGUGCCUUUUUGUGUGUACUUUAUGACUAAGGAUCGGCUAACUACGUGCCAGCAGCCGCGGUAAUACGGAGGAUCCGAGCGUUAUCCGGAUUUAUUGGGUUUAAAGGGAGCGUAGAUGGGUUGUUAAGUCAGUUGUGAAAGUCUGCGGCUCAACCGUAAAAUUGCAAUUGAUACUGGCAGCCUUGAGUGCAGUUGAGGUAGGCGGAAUUCGUGGUGUAGCGGUGAAAUGCUUAGAUAUCACGAAGAACUCCGAUUGCGAAGGCAGCCUACUAAGCUGCCACUGACGUUGAUGCUCGAAAGUGUGGGUAGCAAACAGGAUUAGAUACCCGGGUAGUC
rnacentral:rRNA from 1 species